UACGUAGGGGGCAAGCGUUGUCCGGAUUUACUGGGCGUAAAGAGCGUGUAGGCGGCCAAACAGGUCCGUUGUGAAAACUGGAGGCUCAACCUCCAGACGUCGACGGAAACCGUAUGGCUAGAGUCCGGAAGAGGAGAGUGGAAUUCCGGGUGUAGUGGUGAAAUGCGUAGAGAUCCGGAGGAACCCCAGAGGCGAAGGCGGCGUCCUGGCUCGCAUCUGACGCUCAGACACGACAGCAUGGGGAGCGAACGGG
rnacentral:rRNA from 1 species